ensembl:rRNA 5S_rRNA 5S ribosomal RNA
GUCUACUGCCAUACCACCCUGAAAGCGCCCGAUCUUGUCUGAUCUCGGAAGCUAAGCAGGGACGGGCUUGAUUAGUACCUGGAUGGGAGACCGCCUGGGAAUGCCAGGUGUUGUAGGCU